rnacentral:rRNA from 1 species
UGCCUGCAGCCGCGGUAAUUCGGAGGGUGCGAGCGUUAAUCGGAAUUACUGGGCGUAAAGCGCACGUAGGUGGCUUGGUAAGUCGGAUGUGAAAGCCCUGGGCUCAACCUGGGAAUUGCAUUCGAUACUGCUUAGCUAGAGUAUGAGAGAGGGUAGUGGAAUUCCGGGUGUAGCGGUGAAAUGCGUAGAUAUCCGGAGGAACAUCAGUGGCGAAGGCGGCUGCCUGGCCAAAGACUGACGCUCAUGUGCGAAGGUGUGGGUAGCGAACAGGAUUAGAUA